rnacentral:rRNA from 1 species
AUUGAACGCUGGCGGCAGGCUUAACACAUGCAAGUCGAGCGGAGAUGAGGUGCUUGCACCUUAUCUAGCGGCGGACGGGUGAGUAAUGCUUAGGAAUCUGCCUAUUAGUGGGGGACAACAUUCCGAAAGGAAUGCUAAUACCGCAUACGUCCUACGGGAGAAAGCAGGGGAUCUUCGGACCUUGCGCUAAUAGAUGAGCCUAAGUCGGAUUAGCUAGUUGGUGGGGUAAAGGCCUACCAAGGCGACGAUCUGUAGCGGGUCUGAGAGGAUGAUCCGCCACACUGGGACUGGAACACGGCCCAGACUCCUACGGGAGGCAGCAGUGGGGAAUAUUGGACAAUGGGGGGAACCCUGAUCCAGCCAUGCCGCGUGUGUGAAGAAGGCCUUAUGGUUGUAAAGCACUUUAAGCGAGGAGGAGGCUACUGAGACUAAUACUCCUGGAUAGUGGACGUUACUCGCAGAAUAAGCACCGGCUAACUCUGUGCCAGCAGCCGCAGUAAAAC